rnacentral:rRNA from 1 species
UACGGAGGGGGCUAGCGUUGUUCGGAAUUACUGGGCGUAAAGGGCGCGUAGGUGGCCUUCUAAGUUGAACGUGAAAUCCCUGGGCUCAACCCAGGAACUGCGUCCAAGACUGGGAGGCUUGAAUCCGGGAGAGGGAUGUGGAAUUCCAGGUGUAGCGGUGAAAUGCGUAGAUAUCUGGAGGAACACCGGUGGCGAAGGCGGCAUCCUGGACCAACACUGACGCUGAGUGAGCGAAAGCCAGGGGAGCAAACGGG